GAUGAACGCUGGCGGCGUGCCUAACACAUGCAAGUCGAACGGACAUUUUUUGGAAGACUCUUCGGAACUGGAAUCUAAAUAGUUAGUGGCGGACGGGUGAGUAACGCGUGAGCAAUCUGCCUUUCAGAGGGGGAGUAACAGCCGGAAACGGCUGCUAAUACCGCAUAAGCUGUGAGUAUCGCAUGAUAUAAGCAGAAAAGGAGCAAUCCGCUGAUAGAUGAGCUUGCGUCUGAUUAGUUAGUUGGUAAGGUAACGGCCUACCAAGACGAUGAUCAGUAGCCGGACUGAGAGGUUGAACGGCCACAUUGGGACUGAGAUACGGCCCAG
rnacentral:rRNA from 1 species